rnacentral:tRNA from 1 species
GGAACUAUGGUGUAAUGGUAAUACAGCAAGUACAGGUUCAAGUCCUGUCAGUUCUG